rnacentral:rRNA from 1 species
AACGAACGCUGGCGGCAGGCCUAACACAUGCAAGUCGAGCGAGGACUCCGGUUCUAGCGGCCGGGUGAGUAAGGCGGGGGAAUGUGCCCUUCUCUACGGAAUAGCCCUGGGAAACCGGGAGUAAUACCGUAUACGCCCUAUUGGGGAAAGAUCUAUCGGCGUAGGAUCAGCCCGCGUGGGAUUAGGUAGUUGGUGGGGUAAUGGCCUACCAAGCCGACGAUCCAUAGCUGGUUUGAGAGGACGAUCCGCCACACUGGGGCUGAGACACGGCCCCGACUCCUACGGGAGGCAGCAGUGGGGAAUCUUAGACAAUGGGGGCAACCCUGAUCGAGCCAUGCCGCGUGAGUGAUGAAGGCCUUAGAGUUGUAAAGCUCUUUCAGCUGGGAAGAUAAUGACGGUACCAGCAGAAGAAGCCCCGGCUAACUCCGUG